GCUUGUCUCAAAGAUUAAGCCAUGCAUGUCUAAGUAUAGUACCUUAUACUGCGAAACUGCGAAUGGCUCAUUAAAUCAGUUAUAAUUCAUUUGAUGGUACUUACUACUCGGAUAACCGUAGUAAUUCUAGAGCUAAUACGUGCGUAAAUCCCGACUUCUGGAAGGGACGUAUUUAUUAGAUCAAAACCAAACGGCUUCGGCCGUCUCAUUGGUGACUCUGAAUAACUUUGGGCUGAUCGUAUGGCCUUGUGCCGACGACGUUUCCUUCGAAGGUGUGCCCUAUCAACUGUCGACUGUGAUAUAGACGCUCACAGUGGUUUUGACGGGUAACGGGGAAUCAGGGUUCGAUUCCGGAGAGGGAGCCUUAAAAACGGCUACCACAUCCAAGGAAGGCAGCAGG
rnacentral:rRNA from 1 species